GUUUAACAGAAAUGUAAUAAUAACAGUAGUAACGUUAAUGCUAUUGAAUGAGGUAGUAAUUAUUUCUUUAAGCUCUAAGUCUUAAAUAAACAGUGUAUGCCUAAGUCCAUUUCAGUGCUUCCAAGAAAAUAAGCAGCAAAGUUCUCUUCUGCUAAAAUGGAGAAUGAAGUAUUUGGGGAUGGAAAGGCAUUUAGCAAAGGCAGAAACUCUUACUGCUGUCUCUGGAGCUUGUCCCCAGACUCACCGUGGGAGAGUUAAAAGGAAUGAAAACAAGAGAUUUAAUUGAACAUGCAUCUUGGAACAUUCAUCCUUCCUCUGAUAUCACGUUGCAUGUAAAAAUAUCAAGACGCUAUUUCAAUAACAAGAUGAUGUUUCAUUCAGUUGGGUUUUCAGGUGCAGAGGCAGAGAUGACUAUUGUGAGCUGGAAAUCACUAUCAUUCCAACCUGAGGAGGGCUCCUGUCACUUUGUCCUCCAUUUCAAACCCCAUAUUGUGUCUAAGGAGUUUUGCGUCAUUCUGAUGCCCACAGGAGCAACAUCGCAAGAGACCGCAAGCGUUAGUGAACAACAUAAUAUCAGGCCUAAGGCUUGGACUACUUUUACAAAGGCUUAGAAGGCAUCUGAAUGCAAUUCCUGAGAAAGUCCUAUUACAAGGACUCAGUGGGAAUAUCUUCUCCUUGUGCCUUUCCAAGAAGAAAACUCAGCUCAUCAGUAGAUCCCUACCAUGUCGAAGCGCCUAUGUCCUGUUUUACAUGCAUCCUGGGAUUUAAUGUUUCUCACUAGCUAGCUGAAAGCAUGUACUUGCUCUAGGUUUUCUGGACCCACUGGAUUUUUAAUCUCUGCUCUGUGAAGCAGCUAUCUUCUGUGUUGGGCAUUGCAGUGCCUAAUUUGCGAACAUAUAAGUCCUUUAUUGCUUUUAGCCCUCAGUUUAAUUUACAGUCAGCAGUUCACCUCUUAAUUUCUGCAGUUUGCUCAAAUCUAGAUGAUUAUCUACCCCUAUAAUUAUAGUGGUGAGCAGUGUGUUAGUACCUUACACGUGCAUUCCUCAUCACUCAUAGCAAUACUUUUCUCUUCCACUCUAGUAAAAAGGGGCUAAAUGUCACAUGCGUUCCUGCUCACUCAUAGGAAUAUUCUUCUCUUCUAGUAAAAAGGGGCCAAAUUUCACCAUUGGUGUUACUAAAAUUGCUUUUAUAAAUCUAAC
rnacentral:lncRNA from 1 species